rnacentral:rRNA from 1 species
AUUGAACGCUGGCGGCAGGCCUAACACAUGCAAGUCGAACGAGUGGCGGACGGGUGAGUAAUGUCUUGGAAACUGCCUGAUCGAGUGGGAUAACUACUGGAAACGGUAGCUAAUCCCGCAUACAAUCAGCUGUUCCCAGAUGGGAUUAGCUUGUUGGUGGGGUAACGGCACACCAAGGCGACAAUCCCUAGCUGGGCUGAGAGGAUGCGCAGCCACACUGGCACGGAGACACGGUCCAGACUCCUACGUGAGGCAGCAGGGGGGAAUAUUGCACAAUGGGCGCAAGCCUGAUGCAGCCAUGCCGCGUGUAUGAAGAAGGCCUUAGGGUUGGAAAGUACUUUCAGCGGGGAGGCGUUACCCGCAGAAGAAGCACCGGCUAACUCCGUGCCAGCAGCCGCGGUAAUUC